GAUGAACGCUGGCGGCGUGCCUAAUACAUGCAAGUCGAGCGAACGGACGAGAAGCUUGCUUCUCUGACGUUAGCGGCGGACGGGUGAGUAACACGUGGAUAACCUACCUAUAAGACUGGGAUAACUUCGGGAAACCGGAGCUAAUACCGGAUAAUAUUUUGAACCGCAUGGUUCAAAAGUGAAAGACGGUUUUGCUGUCACUUAUAGAUGGAUCCGCGCUGCAUUAGCUAGUUGGUAAGGUAACGGCUUACCAAGGCAACGAUGCAUAGCCGACCUGAGAGGGUGAUCGGCCACACUGGAACUGAGACACGGUCCAGACUCCUACGGGAGGCAGCAGUAGGGAAUCUUCCGCAAUGGGCGAAAGCCUGACGGAGCAACGCCGCGUGAGUGAUGAAGGUCUUCGGAUCGUAAAACUCUGUUAUUAGGGAAGAACAUAUGUGUAAGUAACUGUGCACGUCUUGACGGUACCUAAUCAGAAAGCCACGGCUAACUACGUG
rnacentral:rRNA from 1 species